UAACGAAUGGGUUUCCUCAAAUGUUUUGAAACUUUAUUCAGAUGCUUCUGGGACACAUGGUGGAUUUGCUGCUGUUUUUGGCAGUAAAUGGUUUGCAGGUGAAUGGCCAAAGGAGAUAAGAAAUUUACCCAUUACAAUAAAAGAACUUUUCCCAAUUGUUUUGGCAAUUGAUAUUUGGGGUUCGUUUUUAGCCAACCAUAAAAUUUUGUUUUUAAUCGAUAAUGCAGCAGUUGCUGCAAUUAUAAAU
rnacentral:lncRNA from 1 species